rnacentral:sRNA from 12 species
ACCUUAUACAAAUGUAUUAAACGCAAGACAGUUUAGCAUUUCCCUGUAAGGUGGUGUUAAAUAGAAGCUUUAACGAUAAGUGCUAUUGUGUAACUAUUAAAGUUGAAAUAGUAUGAGUUAAAGUGGAAUAGGUUAAUCGUAAGACCUUAAGUUGAAAAACUUUAAAAUUGACCUUAAAUACUUUUAUAAUUAUUAAGUUACGGUAAA